rnacentral:rRNA from 1 species
AGAAUCUUUCUCAAUGGGCGAAAGCCUGAAGGAGCGACGCCGCGUGGAGGAUGAAGGCCCUCGGGUUGUAAACUCCUGUCAUCAGGAAACAAUUGCAGGCGCCUAACUAACGCCUGCUUGAUAGUCCCUGAAGAGGGAGAGACGGCUAACUCUGUGCCAGCAGCCGCGGUAAUACAGAGGUCUCAAGCGUUGUUCGGAUUCAUUGGGCGUAAAGGGUGCGCAGGCGGUCAAAUCAGUCAGGUGUGAAAUUCUGGAGCUCAACUUCAGAACUGCACUUGAUACUAUUCGACUAGAGUCCUACAGAGGAGACUGGAAUUUACGGUGUAGCAGUGAAAUGCGUAGAUAUCGUAAGGAAGGCCGGUGGCGAAAGCGAGUCUCUGGAUAGCGACUGACGCUCAGGCACGAAGGCCAGGGGAGCAAAC